AGACGAGCAGUCACGAUGAUGACAAUGAGGAAGGAAACGAUGUUGAGCCAUGCGGCCGAGUUAUGAAUGAAUGGAAGCGAGACGUGCGCCACGCACCUUUUAAGCCACCUUACCUUGAAGGACAUUUCCGAUAUGAAAAGACUUCGAUGAAAGCAAAGCAAUACUAGAACAAAGGAUCUACAUAUCGCAUAAGGUAUUUUAAGCAAUGGAAACUGACCAUCCCCAAGGGAUUAUCGUAAUUAAGUAGUUUCCAAAAGUUUCACCAACGCAGGCGCCUGCCUGGCACCCAGGUCGGAGUGACAUUGAAAAGGAAACCCUGCGCCACUCAAUGUCAUGUCGUAGACGCCCUUGGCUAACGUUUUUCGACGUUCUCAUCGCAUUCAGGUGUAAAAUUGCUCGCCAUAAAUCCGUCAAACCCCUCCGCCUACAGGGGGGGAACAGAGGAACAGUUCUCGGCUUUGGGGAAUUGGAAAUUGUAUUUUUUCUACAACUAGUUAUAAAAUCAACCUUUCACAAUC
rnacentral:tRNA from 15 species